rnacentral:rRNA from 1 species
CGGCGGACGGGUGAGUAAUGCCUAGGAAUCUGCCUGGUAGUGGGGGACGAACGUUUCGAAAGGAACGCUAAUACCGCAUACGUCCUACGGGAGAAAGCAGGGACCUUCGGGCCUUGCGCUAUCAGAUGAGCCUAGGUCGGAUUAGCUAGUUGGUGAGGUAAUGGCUCACCAAGGCGACGAUCCGUAACUGGUCUGAGAGGAUGAUCAGUCACACUGGAACUGAGACACGGUCCAGACUCCUACGGGAGGCAGCAGUU